rnacentral:rRNA from 1 species
AUUGAACGCUGGCGGCAGGCCUAACACAUGCAAGUCGAGCGGUAGAGAGAAGCUUGCUUCUCUUGAGAGCGGCGGACGGGUGAGUAUGCCUAGGAAUCUGCCUGGUAGUGGGGGAUAACGUUCGGAAACGGACGCUAAUACCGCAUACGUCCUACGGGAGAAAGCAGGGGACCUUCGGGCCUUGCGCUAUCAGAUGAGCCUAGGUCGGAUUAGCUAGUUGGUGAGGUAAUGGCUCACCAAGGCGACGAUCCGUAACUGGUCUGAGAGGAUGAUCAGUCACACUGGAACUGAGACACGGUCCAGACUCCUACGGGAGGCAGCAGUGGGGAAUAUUGGACAAUGGGCGAAAGCCUGAUCCAGCCAUGCCGCGUGUGUGAAGAAGGUCUUCGGAUUGUAAAGCAUUUUAAGUUGGGAGGAAGGGCAGUUACCUAAUACGUAAUUGUUUUGACGUUACCGACAGAAUAAGCACCGGCUAACUCUGUGCCAGCAGCCGCCGUAA